rnacentral:rRNA from 1 species
AUACGGAGGGUGCAAGCGUUAUUCGGAAUCACUGGGCGUAAAGGACGCGUAGGCGGUUAGUUAAGUUAGAUGUGAAAGCCCCGGGCUUAACCUGGGAACUGCAUUUAAAACUGGCUAACUAGAGUUAAGUAGAGGGGAGUGGAAUUUCAGGUGUAGCGGUGAAAUGCGUAGAGAUCUGAAGGAACACCAGUGGCGAAGGCGACUCCCUGGACUUGAACUGACGCUGAGGUACGAAAGCGUGGGUAGCAAACGGGAUUAGAAACCCUUGUAGUCC